AAGGAUUUAAGUUAAAAGAAACUAUUAACCUUCAAAGUUAAAAUUAUAGUCAAAUAUAAACCUUA
rnacentral:tRNA from 1 species